rnacentral:rRNA from 1 species
AUGAUAGCAACAAGAAGGUACCAUCAGAUUAGGCAUAACAGAUCCACCAUGACAAGAACAACACAGGCACAUUCUGAAACACUACUAGCACACGCACUUCCUAACAAGGAUCUAACAGACGACGCAUGGAUUGCAGAUCGCGGCCUAGGCCCUCUCGCCACGGAUGCGGCGGGCGAGCUGGAUGUCCUUGGGCAUGAUGGUGACGCGCUUGGCGUGGAUGGCGCAGAGGUUGGUGUCCUCGAACAGCCCCACCAGGUAGGCCUCGGCGGCCUCCUGCAGGGCGGAGACGGCGGAGGACUGGAAGCGGAGGUCGGUCUUGAAGUCCUGGGCGAUCUCCCGGACGAGGCGCUGGAAGGGGAGCUUGCGGAUGAGCAGCUCGGUGCUCUUCUGGUACUUGCGGAUCUCGCGGAGCGCGACGGUGCCGGGGCGGAAGCGGUGGGGCUUCUUGACGCCGCCGGUGGCCGGGGCGGACUUGCGGGCGGCCUUGGUCGCCAGCUGCUUCCUCGGCGCCUUGCCGCCGGUGGACUUCCUCGCCGUCUGUUUGGUGCGGGCCAUGGCGCCGGUGUUGGGGAUGUUGCUGGGUGGGUUGGGGAAUUGGAGCGAGGAGGAAGAGUGGAAUGGGACGGCGUUAAAUAG